GGAGACUGCCGGUGAUAAACCGGAGGAAGGUGGGGACGACGUCAAGUCAUCAUGGCCCUUACGAGUAGGGCUACACACGUGCUACAAUGGCGCAUACAGAGGGCAGCCAACUUGCGAAAGUGAGCGAAUCCCAAAAAGUGCGUCGUAGUCCGGAUUGGAGUCUGCAACUCGACUCCAUGAAGUCGGAAUCGCUAGUAAUCGUGGAUCAGAAUGCCACGGUGAAUACGUUCCCGGGCCUUGUACACACCGCCCGU
rnacentral:rRNA from 1 species